ACUGCAUGUUGCAAGCUAGAUUGCGGCAGAAGUACUUACAUCCAUCCUCAAAAGCAUCCUAAUUUUAGAACUGCAACCUUCAUGAACGACUUCGCGUGGUGUCGAGCGCAGAACACUAUACGUGUAAUGCAGCACAGUGUCAACAUGCAAGAUUUUCUAGAAACCAGUCAAAUUAUAUUGUAACAUUUCCGUCGAAUUGGUUAAUACAAAUUAUUUUUAUGUUAUUACUUUAUACAACGGAUCAUUGCAGAACGAAUUCUGUAAUGAUGGAAAAUACAGUAGGAGCAAUAAUAUCUCCGCGCGUUCAUGCAAAACUCUGCCGGCAAUAUGGGAGAACCGUCGAAUUCGAGAGGAAACUAUGUACCAUUGCAUUAAUCGCAAAGCGUCUGAUCGGGACCGUCGGGUUAACUGAAUAGUCUGAAUUAACGUCCUAUCGAGUAUCGACGUGACGGAAAUGUUCUACCGCCAUUGGAAGAAAAUACUACUACGAGUGGUCCGAAAUGGACACUUAUUUAUUUUGGAACAGGCUGUAAGGUAGUAAAGGAAACGAACUGCGACCAGGAAAGUAGGAUCAGAAAAAUGCAGGAACACCUCUGGAUUCCCGGCAACAUGAGCGGUCAUAUUCGUUGUUUUACAUCCGGCCACCCAAGAAGAAAUUGGAAUUUUAAAAUGGAUGAGAAUAUGGAAACCGAAACGCCAACGGAAACCAAGAAAAUCACUUAAAUAUUGGUUUCCCCAGCUGUUUGCUGCAGGCCGUGGCUGAAUGCAUCGUGUUAAACUUAUCAUGUAACGAAUUCACAAACCUUAAUCACUGUGUACGGAAGAAAUACAUUCCGAAUUUUUUUUCAGUCUGUUUUCCUAUAGAAAUCUGUCUAGUUUUCCGUUUCUUUAUUUCUUUACGUACCGCACAAAAUUCGAAAGGCAAUAAAAGAUAGUAAC